GAACGUAUUGCGUAGUGGUGAGGCGUUUGGUCGGUUUCUACGAGGCGCGGGUUCAAAUCCCGCUACGUUCA
rnacentral:tRNA from 1 species